rnacentral:rRNA from 1 species
AUACGUAGGGUGCGAGCGUUGUCCGGAAUUACUGGGCGUAAAGAGCUCGUAGGUGGUUUGUCGCGUCGUCUGUGAAAUUCCGGGGCUUAACUCCGGGCGUGCAGGCGAUACGGGCAUAACUUGAGUACUGUAGGGGAGACUGGAAUUCCUGGUGUAGCGGUGAAAUGGGCAGAUAUCAGGAGGAACACCGGUGGCGAAGGCGGGGUUCUGGGCUAGACUUGACACUGAGGACCGAAAGCAUGGGGAGUGAACAGGAGUAGAUACCCUGGUUGUCCAUGCUGUACACGGUGGUGGCUAGGUGUAGGGGUCUGCCCGGCUGUGUGUGCUGUAGCUAACGCAUUAAGCGCCCCGCCUGGGGAGUACGGCCGCAAGGCUAAAACUCAAAUGAAUUGACGGGG